AAAUAACUGGAUAAGCCGCCGCUCUCAGCGCCGAGCUGGGGCGGCUCCCUGCUCGCCGCCGCGCCAAAGGGGCCUCCGUGGACUCCGCCACCGCCGGCGGCACUCGCUUCCCCGCUGCUCCCCCUCGCCGUGGCCGCAGGCGCUUCAUCUCUAGUUACUGGCAGUUUCGCCGGGUUGUAGAGAAAUAUCUUGCCUCCGUUGAAGCUGGCGAUGCACAGCAGGAACAGGGACAGAAUGCAGAGCAGGGACGAGAUUACUGCAGGCUUGUAUGCCUGGCUUCUGUAAUCAGCUGAGUUUUUCCUUCCUUCUGAAUUACUAUGCCCACCUUGUAUGUAUAACAAUUCAUCAGAAGUAAAAAGUUAAUCCUCCUCCUCUGUUGAUCUUUUCUUCUUUCUUUGAGACAAUACUUUCAGUCAGAUUAGAGACGACGGUCGUGCAUACCUACAGAUUCAGAUUAGAAACGAUGGUCUUAAAAUUAUGUAUCUGGAAGCAAGCAACAGGAAGUCGACCUGAUUUCUUUCAGUGUAACUAGUACCACUAUUUACUCUAGUAGUACUAGGAAAAUGUUUGUUUUGUUUGUCCUGCUCAAUCACUCAUGCUGAUGGAGUUAAUAAUCGAUGGACUGUUUCAUUCCUCAAUAAAUCGACAAAUUAGCAUUUACUGUUUGAAUAAUUCAAAACAACUACAUCUAUUGGCGUCAUCUAUUUCUUGUUAUCCUAGAGAGAACUAUUUCUGCUUACGCCAACCAUAGUGCUUAUAUCUUUCAUUCACACUGCGCGAGGUCCUUGUAGCGCGCGGAAUCUGAGACAUUGUUUUGUUUCAUCCAGCGGCAUGCAGCUGGAGGUUUUAGCGCUGUCUGCCACGCACUGGUUGAAAUGUGUGCGCCUUGAAGAUCGAGACGCCACUGGCCAGCCACCAGCACGAGAUCUGAAGCUGAGUAUUAUUGUUUUUAUAGUGUUGCUACAUAGAAUGCUUUACCGACAGAGGUAGGGGAGAGUAAACUAAUGCAAGUAGCCUGUGGAGACUCCAUACUAGUAGAACAAUACACAUCUCUCUUAUCUUCACUUCUAAUUUGUAUGCUGCAAUGCCCUGGUAGUACAGAGUAUUCAAAUGUUUGUUCUCUUAGUUUCUGAACAGUACACAUCUCUCUUAUCUUCAAUUCUAACGUAAACAAUCUUUGUACCAUUGUUCCAGCUCUGGGUUAUUGUUUGCUUAGCUGCACAAUUGUCAGUGCUAUCUGUGGUCAGAAUUUUGAAGCUUUUUUGACUAUGUUCAAUGCUAUCUGUGGUCAGGAUAUUUACAUAUACACUAAUAUUUAUCACAUUGGAGAAGCAAUUGACUUUCGGCUACAGUCAAUGGUACCAUUUUAUUUUCUACUGACGGUGCUCGCGUAUGGAACACGAUCGUGCUGUUUCUCAUGGCAAUGUUUGAUGUUGUUUUCCUUUAAAUAUAUACAAAGUUUGUAGGAGAAUCGUAUGGAAUGUCACUUACAAUUAUGUCCAUGUAAUAAGCUAUCUUGGUAUUGAAUUUGCUUCUAUUGUACAUAUGUUCAGUACUAUUGUUACCCCCAAUCUGAAACAUACGAUAUUUAGAAUGUGGGUGGUCAAACUUACUUCACUCUGAUCACUACUACAUACAAAGACUUACUCAAAUAUGUGAAAAGUUCAUCCUCAACUAUCGCCUCUCUGUCUUUAUGUUCUGCUUCUAACACAAAGUAGUGUGAUUUUGAUUUGAUCAGGCAACACACCAGAUCAACAUGCAUGUUGAAUGGUGCUCGACUGGUUAUGUGCAGAACUCGUCCAACUAGUGAUGGAUCUGUAUGUGGGCGCUGCCACCACUGGGUCCUCCGACCGCCGGCAAAUCUCACUUCUCCGCUGCCAUCCUCGCUGUCGAUGCAGAUUCUGGCGUGUCCUGCCUUGCAAUUGUUGUAGGAAAAAAGGAAAAGGAUGUGUCCCAAACCAAAACAGCGCCAUCUUCUCCAUCAUUCACCAUCAGCGACCACCUCCUUACCUAUUCCUCCUCUCGCAGCAAGCAACAACUUGUAUAAAAGGUUAAUAAUCGGUGGACUGUUUCAUUCCUCAAUGAAAUCGAUGGAUUGGCCUUACUGUUAACGUCACAGCUCACUGUUUCAAUCUAGAUCUACAACUACAAACACAAUGCAACCGUAUUUAUUGUGUACCUCCAGCAACACCACUGCACGUCGCCUCACCUUUUUGCGGAGGCCCCGAAACGAAGUACUUCAUCACCACUCUUGCCUGGGAUGCCUGGGCACAAUGCCCGUAGUUUGUCCUCAAUGUCGAUCACAUUUUCCAGCAAUCAACAAUCACCUACUUAGAUAGUGGGGAGUUGUAACCACACAUAUAUCUCGAAGCCCUCUAUGGCGAGCAGUUUCAAUAGGUUCCCAUCCA